rfam:Salmo salar isolate Sally breed double haploid chromosome ssa04, whole genome shotgun sequence.
UCCAUUCACUACUGUAAGUCGCUCUGGAUAAGAGCGUCUGCUGAAUUACUAAAA